rnacentral:rRNA from 1 species
AUUGAACGCUGGCGGCAUGCCUAACACAUGCAAGUCGAACGGGGCAGCAAUGCCUAGUGGCGGGCGGGGGAGGAACACGUUGGAAUCUGCCCUUAAGUGGGGGAUAACCAGGGGAAACCCUGACUAAUACCGCAUGAUCCCUUAGGAGCCAAGAGGGGGGCCGGAAGGCCUGUCGCUUCUGGAUGAGCCUACGUCUGAUUAGGUAGUUGGUUGGGUAAAGGCCUACCAAGGCGACGAUCAGUAACUGGUCUGAGAGGAUGAGCAGUCACACCGGAACUGAGACACGGUCCGGACUCGUAGGGGAGGCAGCAGUGGGGAAUAUUGAACAAGGGGCGCAGGCCUGAGCCAGCAAUGCGGCGUGUGGGAAGAAGGCCUUCGGGUUGUAAAGCACUUUAGCCUGGAAAGAAAAAACUUUGGUUAACACCCAAAGUCUUGACGGUACCAGGAGAAUAAGCACCGGCUAACUCUGUGCCAGCAGCCGCCGUAACAC